UACGUAGGGUCCGAGCGUUGUCCGGAAUUACUGGGCGUAAAGAGCUCGUAGGUGGUUUGUCGCGUUGUUCGUGAAAACUCACAGCUCAACUGUGGGCGUGCGGGCGAUACGGGGCAGACUGGAGUACUGCAGGGGAGACUGGAAUUCCUGGUGUAGCGGUGGAAUGCGCAGAUAUCAGGAGGAACACCGGUGGCGAAGGCGGGGUCUCUGGGCAGUAACUGACGCUGAGGGGGCGAAAAGCGUGGGGAGCGAACAGG
rnacentral:rRNA from 1 species